GCCAUUAUCUCUUUAUUUAACUGUAGUUUAUUUUAUCCGGUAGAAUAAAUUAUAAUGGAUAGUCGGAUUAAUAAAUACUAAAAACAUAAUUCCGGAAUCCUUAUUAUAUCAGUGUUAUUUAUUCUCGAAUAAUUGGAUAAUGUCACGUAUCACACAAGUAACCAUUAAUGAUACCAGAAGAAAUGUUGCGAAUAGGGAUAUCGAGAUAUUACGAAUGAUUGUUUCAAAAUGCUGAUUAGAAUAACCUGCAACUAAUUUAAAAUGAAACCUUUAUAGAAAUCGCAAAAAAUUAUUUGUCGGCUAUCCGUGAUAACGCUGAUACAUUUGCUUAUACAAUAUCCAGUAUGAAGGCGAUGUACAAUUACUUAUAUGAUUGUUAAAAAAUACAGAUAAAUAUUUCGAUCAAUAACAAAUAUCCGACUAAAUAUAACAAACCGAAUAAAAUAUAGUAUAGAAAUUCAA